CCACCAUCCCUUCUCUUCUCACUCUUCCUCCUGCAGCCGCCGCCUCCUCUUCUCCCUCUCUUCCUCCUCCUCGCCCCACGCGGCCCCUCUUUUGCCGCUCGUCCUCCACCUCAUAUCCGGCAUCCUCGCCGCCGCCAUAGAUCGAGGAGGACGGCGCGAUGACGACCAUGAUGCAUCGGACAUCCCAGGUCGACGAUGCCAUGGAAGCCAUGAGAGCUGGCCGAGGAAGAGGGGGCAGGACUGCAUGCCAUGAUGGGCAUGGCGGCUGCGGGCGGAAGCAGCAUGGGUUGAAGGAGCGGCGGAUGUGGGUGGGGUCGAAGGUUGGGAGAGACUCGUCGGCUGGGCAACAGCGAGCGCCAAUGAGCGCAACGCAUGAGUUUCCAGAAGCGUCGUCUCCUACAAGACAGGCAAGGACGAUGUCGUCGCCCUCGCAGGUUCUAUGAUCUGUUCCAUCUCUGUUCUCCUCGUCAAGGUUAGCUGCUCUAUUCCCUAGGGGAGGGGAGGCGGCCAAUGACAGGGAGAAGGAGCAGGCCGUCAAGGAGUGCAACCAGAAGCUUUCCGGUGACUGGAAGUCUGAAACUCAAGACAGGGCAUAUUGUUUUGGUUAUGAGUGGUUGGAGAUAUUGUGGCUUGAUGUCCCUAGAGCAGUCGGACCCUUCCAAGAUAUGUGAGCCUGAUUUUUUCUGCAACUCUUCCACCAUAGUACAUGAAAAGGAUUAACUUCUACCUAUCGCCACCAUUUCUUGAGGAGGAUUGGUGAUUCCCCUUUAUUUUGUCACACUUUGGUGUCCUUGAGUUCAGAGUUCUUCUUUAUAUAUUCCCAGGUGCUAAAAUCCUAGGUGUCAAGGGCAUUGUGGUGGUGCGAUCCAUGUCUCCUGCGAGCACUCGGCAUGGCGUCCAUAGCCCCAAAGAGCAGGGCUUCAAGGCUGGACAACAAGCUUCACUUGAUGAAAGCAUUUCCCUUCUAAAACAGAUUACUGCUGAGAUUAAUGCACAAGUUAGUGUUGAUACUAAGGCGGUUAUGGGAUUGCUUGAUCUAUGCUAGGUCAAUAUGUCAGCCAACCACUUAAAAAUAAUCACUUGCAUUUCUUCCUCUGAACUCUGAAACCUGACGAGUGAGGACGCAUCAACAAUUUAGCAAUAGAAGAUGUCAGUGAACACGAGUACUCAGUCAAGAGCAAUAUAGCGGUAGAUACUUUACGGUGCAAUUUUAUAUAAGAAUAAAUAAAUGGCACUUAAGUUGUUAAGAAAUUGUUGUUGGAGUAUUGUCUCACCCUUUAUCUUCUCUCUCUAAAACUAUAGAUUGCUAUGGGCUGGAGCUCCAGGGGAGGAGGGAGGUAAGCAUAGAUGCAAUGGAUAUUGUUCGGAUAAAAAAUUGGGUGGAAACUGAGUAGUGACGGUGAGACUUAUUCCAUUUGUUUCUCCUUUGCCCUUUUAAUCAAGAACAAUGACCAGAGCUUACGUGGUUGUUGAAAUUUAAUUCUUUAAAGGAGAAAUAUUGAUAUCAUGCAAUGAUCAUUGCAGAGUAGGAUAGUUAUAGAGUUCUUCCUUAGUUUUCAUUGAACAAAGAUAGGGUCUGUGUGAUUUGUUCUAAUACCAAGUAAAUCUUGGUCUGCAUUUUUUUUCCUAUUUUCGUUUAAAAAAAUUGGGACUUGAUGCGAAAAAGGGUGUGUGUUGACAUGCAUGUAACCAAAUCAUGUAUUAAUGUGAGGUACUAUAUAUACCUGCCUAUCUCUCUGCAAAAGCUUACGGCCCUCUUUGAUCCAACUAGGAACAUCAAAACCAAAUGGGAUUUCAUUGAGUGUACUUCAGAUGCCCAUGCUGUAAGUACACCAUUACUAAUUAGUAUCUGAAUCUGCCUUGUAUAAUUAAGAUGCACUUUCUACAUAGCGCUGCUAUAUAUUGAUACUGUGUGAUCACUUAACAUAAAUCUGGCUAGGCGAUUUGCUCGCCUAACUCUCUGGUUGCAUAUAAUCUCAUCCGGAUAGUGACACGAUUUACUCUGUUUGAUCAAAUAGGUAGAAGCCGAAGCUGUUUUACGUGAAUCUAAUGACGUCCCUUCUGCUAUAAGCUAGGAAAUUGACAAAUUCAACAUUGGCAAUCUGGUCUUGUGCUCUACAUCCAAAAGCAUAUUCCGAAAGUGAGAUUCUUAUUGUGGAUGUUUCAGCGUCAACCUGAAUUUUGUUUAACCUACUACAGAAAGACCUUCUAGGGUGAUUAGCUGCAGUACUGUGACAAAUAAUCAAAAAAAUCAGUGUCUUCUCAUUUAAUAUUCUAGCUGCGACUACUUGACUACAAGUUUUAUGUUAAAUUUUUCUGUAUAGCUUGCACAAACUGAGUGAGAUCGUGAAUCAUCAUCUCACAUUUUUUUCUCUUGAAAAGUAGGUGUCAUCUCCUACAUUUUUUUUCUUAGAAUCAAGCAUGUUUCUAAGCCUUGCCUGAAAGUUUCCAUCGCUCGGCUCCUGAAGGCAUGUGAUUUAGAUUCUCUUAUGUCAGUGUGUUUGUAUUCAGAAAAUUUAGGUAUGAUGCCUCAUUCAGAUUCUCUUAUGUCAACGUGUUUGUAUUCAGAAAAAUAAGGCAUGAUGCCCCAUUUAGCUUAUCCUAUCUCGGUGUGUUUGUGCUCAGAAAAUUAAUUUGCUUAUUUUUGCUUUUUGAGGGCUGUAAUAAUAGAGAAUUUCAUUGUUGAAAACUUAUAAAGAGAUCGAGGAUAAAAAAUUGCAAGUAAAGUCCACUUUUCUACUGUAUUUUUAUGCGCACCUACAGUGUAGUUCUUAGCUAUGCUGCGACUAUUCUAAUCGAUAGGGCAAAAAACUAUGGGAGGAAUCAAAGGCAUGCAUCUGACCUCAGGUACACGUACCAAUUGAAAUAAGAGGUGAUAAUGUUGUCAUAUAGCUAUACUGGAUUCAUUAUCAACUUAACAACCAACCUGGACGGCAAAAGUUUACUUCACUUGGUAACAGGAGUUGGACACCGAAAGCUUUGCUAUCUAAUUUUCUUCUCUGUAGAGGAAAACAAGUACGCUUAUAGUUGGACACUAAAAGUCUGCUAAAAUUAUUUUUAGAGCUGUAUGGUGUAUACUUUUAUAAUGUAAAUCCUUGCUCAUGUUACACCUUUCUUGUUAUUAUGGCGAAAAAAUUAGCAUAUUAACCAUUUCUACAUUUUUUUUGUUCUUUUCUUUGAAUACAGUAGUGUCCAGGUUUAUGGAUUCCUAUAUUUUUAUUGUCAAUCUAACAUACUUGUGUCACUCCCGUCCUGUUUUAGCUCUGUUGAUGGAUGAUUUCUGCCAUUUAUUUUUAUUCCCAUUUUAUAUAUUCUGAUUACUGCUUCAUUAUUUAUCAACUGAGGCAUGCUUGUUGUGCACUUCUUACUGAUGAUGAUCCUAAUGUAUGUUUGAGAAAAGAACUCAAUGUGCAUAUUUAUCCUUAUUUUGUUCAAUUAUAAUGGGAGGAAGUAACUUAAUUGACUGAUAGUGUUGUUAGUAGUGCUAGACAAUAGGCAAUUUACUAGAGCAGUUCAAGCAAGAAUACUUCCAGAAUCCAUCUUGUGAUCUGUUGGUAACAACACCAAGUUUGCCAGUUUGUUCAACCAAACAAAGUGUAUAACAUGCUUCAUUUUUGCAGGUAUAGAAGAAGGAAAAGAGAGCAUUGGAUUUUGAGUUAAUGAUAAUGAAAUAUAUUUUAAAAAAGAGUUAAUGAAAUAUGCUCAAUCAAGAAAACUCAAGGUCGGUUCAGUCCACAGAAAAGAAUAAGGUGAAACCUCUUGUGUUUUUAUUAGUGCACACAUGGCUCUAAAAUUGGGUAGCUGAUAUUUAUUUAUUCACUCAACGUUGUGUUAGGCAUAGACUUCUCUCUCUCUCUCUCUCUCUCUCUCUCUCUCUCUCUCUCUCAAACCAGCUUCUCGUGCAAGAUCUUAUCCUAUGCCCAGUUAUUUUGUGGGUAUCGUUUUAAAAAAAAUUAUCUUUGUUGCUCCGCUUAGCUACACCAUCCUUCAGUGUUUUUUAUGGAAUCUAGAAAAACAAAGUGCUUUGCUUCUUUCCUUACUUAGUUCAAGGAUCCAGCUGUGCGUUGGACAGUGUUGCUGAGGGUCCAGUUUCUAAUUUUUUAGUAGCAGAGAUGUGUAUAAUAUGGAUAACUGAACUGGUGUUUAGGCGUUUCAGUGCAGGACUGUUACUUGCUCGAUUAGUUAGAUGAACUGGUGUUUAGAGAUUUCAGUGCAGAGCGAUGUUUCAGUUUUGAUUGCAGGGCUUCGAGGUGCACCGUGAGGGCUGAAAUGAGUCUUAUACCGGGUCUUUCCUGAAUUUAGUUAGCCUAAAUACUUCCAGAAUCCCUCUUGCAAUAUGUAA